GGGGUUAGCGAGCAGGUGCAGCCAGACUGUGUGGGCACCAGGGACUCCCCCGUGCCCUAGUAGGUGAGGGGUGGCCUCCUUCGUCUGCACACCUGGGUGCCACUUCCAGCUUCUCACCAGACUUUCAUAUGGUUGCGGCCAACAGGAUGACACUUUCAUGCAUCUCAGGUUCAGAGAAGAGCCAAGGGUGAGCCAGGCUUCCAGCAGUAACUGCUCAGCCCCUCGGCAGCCUCCAGGGAAGGAAAGUGGUGAGAACCGGUGAGACCUUGGCCACUCCCCUACCUUCUUCAACCAAAACAAUUCCUUGUUUUUCCUUUUUUUUUUCCCCCUCAGGGUAAAAUGUUGGAAAGGGGAGUCCUGUGUCUAAAUAAAGCUGGAAACCAAGAGUGAAGGAGAUUGUGUUCUCUAGAACGGAAGAACGCUCUGAUUCCUGCUUCCUGGAGCUCGGAUGAGUUCGGUUUGCAGCGACUAAUGUAUACAAGUCUUGGUCAAAGAUGACGUUGGCCCAAAAUCACAUGGGGUCAAAGGAGACUGUAGCCCACAGCUGCCUCCCAGGCAAUGGACUUGGAAAGCCUGUGGAAAUGUGUUUUAACCAGCAAUUACACUCCACCUUGUUAAUCUUCAUCAAGCUGCCUGUAAACCAGCAGACAGAUGCAACUCCCCUGAGCACUGAGUCCCCUUCAGUGCCUGCAAGGAGAAAUUCGGUUCUCUCAGUGGGUGUGGUAAGAAAAUCUGCUCAAAGCCAAAGGUGAGUGAUCAAAUACAAUGGUCUCUAGGACCACAGAAUUCUAUGAUUAUAGGGUAUAGAAUGGAAAUUAAUGAGAUCUGCUCCACACAAACAAGCAGAUCUAGGAGUAGAAGUAUGUCACAACCUGGGGUGCCUGGGUGGCUCAGUUGGUUGAGCGUUUGACUUCAGCUCAGGUCAUGUUCUCACGGUUUGUGAGUUCGAACCUUGCAUCAGGCUGGCUGCUGUCCACACAUGAGCCUGCUUCAGACUUUGUCCCCCUCUCUAUGUCCCUCCCUGACUGAUUCCCUUUCUCUCUCUGUCUCUCAAAAAUGGAAUAAACAUUAAACUAAAAUAUGUCAUGACUUGAAGACAACCUCAAGUUUAUUUUUAGGUGACAUGAAUCUUUUAAGGUUCUUGAUUUCAGAAACAAAACCCACUCUGACUCGUUUAAGCAGAAAAAGAAUUUUAUUAAAUGUUUAAAGUAGUUGUCAGACUCUUGGUGGGGGCCAUUGAAUCAACCAUGGAUGCUCUGAGCCCGGGAGCCACAUGCAAGUUACACAGCAGGAUGGCUCCCCCAAGUACCCCACUUUCCCGGGGCCUGGACAGCCCAGCACUCACCCCCAGGGGUGGACUCUAGAGGCCACCACUAGAAUCUCCGGCAGUGGUCCCUGGACGUGGCCUCCUCUCCCCUCACCUGUCAGGAUGGCGUCUGUGAGGUGCCUCACUUCCUUCUGCAUGGAGGUCUCCCUGGUGUGGAUCUAACUGGCAGAACCUGGAGCACCCCAUCCUCAAAUCUAAGACGUCAAGAGACGUUCUGACUUCUUUGGAGAGCAAACUCUCCGAAACUGGCACAUCCUCCGUAUAUAAAAAGGGCUCAAAAGUAACAGGUGGCCAAAAACCAUGAUGGAUGCCCACUUCGGCUUCCCCUAGGGGCCUGGAGAGGCUGAAGCACGUCUUUCCAGGGAGGUUAAUGACCCACAGGGUAGGCUCUCUACUAGCAGGACGUGGGGAAUGGGAACGAGCCGGUAGAUCGAUUUCCUUCCUCUCUCCUGCGGGGCUGCCUUGAGAUGCCGCAGUUUGUUUGGUCUUACUGAACACGUCCCAUGAGAUGGAGUCGUAACUACUUGCAACCAAUAACAGGCUGACUCCAGCCUCUCUCACAUUCGCCCCUGAUUCAUUCCCCCUUCUCCCUCACCCUUGCUUCCCUGGGAUUGCACCUCCCUACAAGGGGGCCAGUGCACAGGCUUUUCCCUUAGGCUCUGGUUUCUCAGGGAACCCACUCUGUAAGCACAGCUUACUGCAGGUGCAACGUCUGUCUUCUCACUCGUCUUUGCCGGGUUCCCAUAACCAGCUUCAGUGAUUUUCCCUAGAAAACCAGUAAUAGACACUCAUGCUGAUUUACCAACCCGUAUUUGCUUCAGCUGUCACUCAUGCUGAAGACUUCUGUCUCUGAUUUAUCGUUGCCUUAUGUACAAAAAGAGAAUUAUUAUUCAUUGGGAGAUUGGGCUGGGAGAGUGGGGGUGGAGGAAUCAGCUUGCCAACUCUUUCAGGGUCACUGAGAGUCUCCUAGCUUCUGGUUGAAACAGCCCCAUGCUUUGUUAGAGCCAUGCUGACUUUUUUUAAGUCCUCUAAACCAGCCCUUGUGCCCCAGUGCUCUGUGCCCUUCUGCAAGUUGUUUUCUAGAAAGUGGUGCUUCUUUCUUUUCUUUCUUUCUUUCUUCUUUCUUUCUUUCUUUCUUUCACGUUUAUUUUUGAGAGAAAGAGAGUGCAAAAGCAAGGGAGGGGCGGAGACAAAGGGGAAGA